CCCCAUGCCGAACUCAGCAGUGAAACGCCGUAGCGCCGAUGGUAGUGUGGGGUCUCCCCAUGUGAGAGUAGGGAACUGCCAGGC
rnacentral:rRNA from 1 species